GGGCCUAUAGCUCAGCUGGAAGAGCGCUUCAAUGGCAUUGAAGAGGUCAGGGGUUCAAGUCCCCUUAGGUCCA
rnacentral:tRNA from 1 species